UGCAUCCAGAACUACUCUUCAGGAGAUGC
rnacentral:piRNA from 1 species